rnacentral:rRNA from 1 species
AUGCCUUCCUGGAACAACGAAGAAACGAGCUCGGAGGAGGAGUGCGAGGUCGUCAGCAUGGACAUGGGACUUAUGGAGGAACCAGACACCACUGUGGAGCCCCUUUUCUGUGGCCAACUUGAGCUUGCUCAUCCCAAGUGCAUUCUGCACCAAAUGAGGCCUAUUAAGCGUGUUGCUUUUGAAGGGCCUGUAACAGGAAGGCGUUUCUAUGGCUGCCCAGUCCAGGAAAAUGGUGUGAAUUGUGGUGUUGUAGAGUGGGUUGAUGGGCCUUGGCCAAUUGUUCUUCAGAGAUGUUUGUGCAAGCUAUGGGAGAUGUUCCAUGAGCAGAACUUUGGAAGGGUACAGGACAAGGAGAAUUUUGAGAAGGAGUUGGCCAGGCUUAAGAGUGAACAUGAAAGGGAGUUGGCCAAGCUUAGGACUGCAAAUGACAAGCUUUGCAUUGAGUACACCAAGCUUGUUGAUGAUGUAUCCAAGAUGUUUGAUUGGCAGGAUUGUAGGGUGGACAAGCAGAUGUACCAAAAACAAGUGGAGGAGGAAGAACUUGAGAAGAAGAAGAAGAAGAAGAAGAAGGAGCUAGAGGAGAAAGCUAUGUUGGAGGUGCAGAUGGAAAAGCUCAAACUUGCAAAAGAGCAGAGGUGCAUUUUGCAGAGCCAAGCUGAUAUCAUCAAGAACACCAGGAAGGCUAUGAAGGAUGUUAAAGUUGACAGAGAUGUUCUUAAGAAGGAGAAGGCAAAGCUUGAGCUUGUUGUUGCUGAGUUGCUGAAAGAAGGGUAUGGCAGCAAGGAGAAGUUAGAGCAAAUCAAGGCCAUCCUUGAGUCUUGA